AGGUUUUCGGAUCGUAAAGCUCUGUUGUAAGAGAAGAACGAGUGUGAGAGUGGAAAGUUCACACUGUGACGGUAUCUUACCAGAAAGGGACGGCUAACUACGUGCCAGCAGCCGCGGUAAUACGUAGGUCCCGAGCGUUGUCCGGAUUUAUUGGGCGUAAAGCGAGCGCAGGCGGUUAGAUAAGUCUGAAGUUAAAGGCUGUGGCUUAACCAUAGUACGCUUUGGAAACUGUUUAACUUGAGUGCAGAAGGGGAGAGUGGAAUUCCAUGUGUAGCGGUGAAAUGCGUAGAUAUAUGGAGGAACACCGGUGGCGAAAGCGGCUCUCUGGUCUGUAACUGACGCUGAGGCUCGAAAGCGUGGGGAGCAAACAGGAUUAGAUACCCUGGUAGUCCACGCCGUAAACGAUGAGUGCUAGGUGUUGGGUCCUUUCCGGGACUCAGUUAACACAAUAAGUAAUCCACCUGGGGAGUACGACCGCAAGGUUGAAACUCAAAGGAAUUGACGGGGCCCGCACAAGCAGUGGAGUAUGUGGUUUAAUUCGAAGCAACGCGAAGAACCUUACCAGG
rnacentral:rRNA from 1 species